GACGAACGCUGGCGGCGUGCUUAACACAUGCAAGUCGAACGGUAAGGCCCCAGCUUGCUGGGGUACACGAGUGGCGAACGGGUGAGUAACACGUGGGUGACCUGCCCCGCACUUCGGGAUAAGCCUGGGAAACUGGGUCUAAUACCGGAUAGGACCGCACCGUGAGGGUGUGGUGGAAAGUUUUUCGGUGUGGGAUGGGCCCGCGGCCUAUCAGCUUGUUGGUGGGGUAAUGGCCUACCAAGGCGGCGACGGGUAGCCGGCCUGAGAGGGUGGACGGCCACAUUGGGACUGAGACACGGACCAGACUCCUACGGGAGGCAGCAGUGGGGAAUAUUGCACAAUGGGCGGAAGCCUGAUGCAGCGACGCCGCGUGGGGGAUGACGGCCUUCGGGUUGUAAACUGCUUUCACCAUCGACGAAGGUUUUCUGACGGUAGAUGGAGAAGAAGCACCGGCUAACUACGUG
rnacentral:rRNA from 1 species